ensembl:lncRNA
UAAGGAAAUAGGAUUGUGAAUAAUAUUUAAUAGUCAUUGAAUGUUAAAAUUCUUUUAACAAAAUAUACAGCUAGCCAAAAAAUGUAUUCCAUUUUUCGUUCAUUCCCAUGGACACCAAUGUUGAUAGAGAUGUCAUCUUUUGAGUGGGUUUCUGCAAAAUCCUAUGGUCAUUAUUGUUAAGAACACCAUCAUCUCUUCCAAGACUACCUAAAAAAUCUGAGGACAAAACACAUAGUUGUAGAUGCAAGACUUCUUACCUAGAUACCUGCAGAAUCCCCUGGUCAAUACCAUGGUUAGGGCCACCAUCAUCUCCUAUCUGGAUACCUGCAAAAUCCCAUGGUAACUAACAUGGUUAAGGACACAUCACUCCUUACCUGGACAACCAAAUUAUCCCAAGGCCACUAGCACAGUAAGGGAGAGAUUAGCUCUUACCUGGAUACAUGCAAAAUUCAAAGGUCAGUACUGUAGAUACAGGCACAAUCAUCUUCUGCCUGCAUAUCAGCAAAGACCUCCAUGGUCACUAAUGCAAUCAGACAAAUACCAUCUCUUACCUGAACACUUAGAAUUGCCCAGGGUCAGUAUCACGGUAGGGGCACAGCAUCUCUUGCCUGGAUAACUGCAAAAUCCCAUGGUCAUUAGCUUGAUUAGAGACACCAUCAACUUUUACCUGGAUAUCUACAAAUAUCCAAAGAAAACACCUUAGUUAGAGACAUCUUCACAAGUGUGACAACAUAUCUGCAAAAUUCCCCUGAUCACUAAGGUGGUUAGUCAACACAACGUACAAGAAUACUUGCAAAUAAACAUGAUCUCCAUGUUGGCUUACAAACACUAUCAUUGCUUAUGUGGAUAUCUGCAAAAUCUCAUGAGCUCCAACUUUGGUACAAACAUCAUCAUCUUUUAAUUGGAUGCAAGCAAAAUUAACCUUUGAUACCAUACAAAGGUUCUCAAAAAUCCCUUAACUGGAAGCUACAAAAACCAAAGAGACAACAGCAUUUAAGAACAAAUCUACAACCUGGAUACCUGAAAAUCCUGUAAGCACUACAAACUUAAAGGGAAGCAUAAAAUCUACCCAGAUACUUGCAAAAAUCCAGCGUCAAGAACUUGGAUUGAGACAUCAUCUCCUUUUGGGUAGACAUCUGUAAAAAGACAAAACAAUAGUAUUUAGUUUGGGAUUUUGCUGGCAUCCAGUUAAGAGAUGAUAAGUGGUUAAGAAGACAACCACUUUGGUUAAGGCCCACCAUUGUCUCUUGAUUGGAUCCUAUAAAAAUUCAUGGUAAAAACUGUGAUGGGGGGCUGGCCCCGUGGCCGAGUGGUUAAGUUCGCGCGCUCCGCAGCAGGCGGCCCAGUGUUUCGUUGGUUCGAAUCCUGGGCGCGGACAUGGCACUGCUCACCAAACCACGCUGAGGCAGCGUCCCACGUGCCACAACUAGAAGGACCCACAACGAAGAGUGUACAACUAUGUACCAGGGGGCUUUGGGGAGAAAAAGGAAAAAAUUAAAAUCUUUAAAAAAAAAAAAAAAAAAAAAAAAAACUGUGAUAGGAAUACAUGUAUUACCUGAAAACCUGGCAAAAUCUCAUCAAAUUUACGGGGUCCAUCAACUCUACCUUGAAACUUGCAGAAGCUCAAGGCCAACACCCUAGUUAGAGAUACAAUCCCGUCUUGAAAUAAUUACAAAAAAGCCAUGGUCAAUAAGGAGGUGAUGGACAAAAUGAUAAUUUAUGUGGACAUCUACAUAAUCCCUCAGUUACUACUAAGGUUAUACAAACAUUAUAUUUAAAUUCUAAAAUAAUAUGGGCUAAUGCUUACUAGCAUUGCCUGGGACAAUAUCAUUUCUUACCUGAAUACCUGCAAGAAAAGACGGCAACACAAAUGUUAGAACACCAUCAUCACUUAGCUAGAUAUCUAAAGAUCAGAGGGUGGGUGGCAUGUCAAAAGCCCACAUCAGCACUUAUCUGGAUACAAACAAAAUCACUUUAAUGAACUUUAUGAGGUUUAGCAUGAUGUCUUAACAGUAACUUGCAAAAUACAUUGUAACAAAUGUGUCUAUGGACACAUCUUUAUUACCUGGACCCCGAAAAUAACCUUAUUCAUUACCAUCACCGCAGGACUCAUCCAAUCUACCCAGAAUCUUGCAGUACUCCAAGGUCUACACCAUGGUUAGAGACGCUAUCAUCACUUGAAUGCUCACCUUCAAGAAAACCAUGGUUACUACUGUGACUCACAGCUUCAUGACAAUUACAUGGAUAUCUGCAAAUCACUCAACAAUCACAUGGUUAAACAUGACUUUUUUCUAAAAUAUAAAACAGUAGGGUAACAUGGCUUCUGGAAUUGGUAAAACACUCAUUUCUUACCUGAAGACCUAUAAAAAAAUCACCUGGUAAACAAGAUUAGGCAAACAAACUUCCCUUCCCUAAGUAUGUGAAGCCUGGAUGAUCUGUGAUGUGGGGGAGGUGCACACCAUCACUUACCUGGAUACCUAUAACGUCUCCUGUCAACAACCACUGUCAGGGUUCACCACGAUCUCUGGACAUGAACCUGAAAAGCAUAAUAUAUGUGUAAAAGGACACAACUUGUUCUACCAAGACACCUGAAAAUAACCUUCAUCGCUAUCCUUAUUAUGAGAACAUCGAUUCUACUGACUACUUGGAGAACUCCAAGUCAGGACCACUAUCAGUUAAGAUAACAUUUCUCAACAGGACACCUGCAAAAUUUCCAUGGUCACCAUUGUGGCUGGGAACAUCAUGAUAAUUACCUGGAUAUGUGAAAUUACUCAAAACUCACAGGGAUAAACAAAAAUUUUUUCUAAAAUAUAAAAAUGAAAACUCACAGUCUAUAGAACUGGUCAGUAAGGGAUCAUUUCCUACCUGAACACUGGCAGAGAAAUCAUGGUAACAAGUGGUAGGGACACCACCAUCACUCACCUAGGUACCUGCAGAUGAGAAGACCUGUGCUGCGGUCUAGGCCCACGUCCUCACUUACCUGCACCCCAAGAAUCUCCUCCGCUAAGGACCGAUGCUAGGUUCGCCCGGAUGUCGUGCCAGGAACCUCAGAAACACAGUGGGGACGACGUCUCGGGUGCAAGCUUAUUCUCACGGGCAACCGCCAAUGCCCCUCGCUCAUUUCCAUCACUUCCGGACCCAUCAACGCUACCUGAAUACUUGCAACACUUCGAGGUCGGCCCCCAGGAAGGAAUGCCUGCCAACAUCCCGGGGUCAGUAACGCGCUGACGGGCAACACGAGAGAUUCCCUGGCUGUCUGCCCCUCCGUCUGUCGGUC